GACGAACGCUGGCGGCGUGCCUAAUACAUGCAAGUAGAACGCUGAAGGAGGAGCUUGCUUCUCUGGAUGAGUUGCGAACGGGUGAGUAACGCGUAGGUAACCUGCCUGGUAGCGGGGGAUAACUAUUGGAAACGAUAGCUAAUACCGCAUAAGAGUAGAUGUUGCAUGACAUUUGCUUAAAAGGUGCAAUUGCAUCACUACCAGAUGGACCUGCGUUGUAUUAGCUAGUUGGUGGGGUAACGGCUCACCAAGGCGACGAUACAUGGCCGACCUGAGAGGGUGAUCGGCCACACUGGGACUGAGACACGGCCCAGACUCCUACGGGAGGCAGCAGAAGGGAAUCUUCGGCAAUGGACGGAAGUCUGACCGAGCAACGCCGCGUGAGUGAAGAAGGUUUUCGGAUCGUAAAGCUCUGUUGUAAGAGAAGAACGAGUGUGAGAGUGGAAAGUUCACACUGUGACGGUAUCUUACCAGAAAGGGACGGCUAACUACGUG
rnacentral:rRNA from 1 species